rnacentral:misc_RNA from 1 species
GAUGAAGAACGUAGCGAAAUGCGAUAAGUAAUGUGAAUUGCAGAAUUCAGUGAAUCAUCGAAUCUUUGAACGCACCUUGCGCCUUUUGGUAUUCCGAAAGGCACACCUGUUUGAGCGUCAUGAAUACCUCAAUCUCCAUCUUUUCUUCGGAUUGAUGGGUGACUUGGAUGUUGAGCCCUGCUGGUAUGCUAUAUCAGCUGGCUUUAAACUUAUUAGCCGGCUCUGUACUGGAUCGGUUUGACUCGACGUGAUAAUAUUAUCGUUGAGGAUGCAUGUCACAUGCAGCCGGAAAGUAUCAAAGCAGCUUCUAGCUUGCCUUUAGUGCACUUUUACAUUUUAGACCUCAGAUCAGGUGGGACUACCCGCUGAACUUAAGCAUAUCAAUAAGCGGAGGA